AGGAUGGAAAAACUGAGAAGAAAAAGAAAACAAAGACUGUUGUGGAGAAGUACUGGGACUGGGAACUCACUAAUGAGACCCAGCCAAUAUGGCUUCGGAACCCGAAGGAAGUCUCCACGGAGGAUUACAAUGAAUUCUACAAAAAAACUUUCAAUGAAUACUUGGAUCCAUUAGCAUCAUCUCAUUUUACAACAGAGGGUGAAGUAGAAUUCAG
rnacentral:misc_RNA from 1 species